UGGUUUGUGCUCAGUGACUGUGAGGUGUAACAUGUCUGUAACAUCACAUGUUUCAUCAGGAUCAAAAUCUGUUUGCUGAAGCACUUUGCCACCACCUGAGACCUUUCUCCCUCUCCCACAGCCUUACCUUGUCAGAUUUGGUAAUGCCAGUUCCUGAGGAGCUGUGGUUCAGCUCAGAUCAUUGAGCAGCAUCUACAGAGGACAUAUUAAGGAAAAGACAGCUCUGAGAUGGUAGCAGACAUGGAAAAAAUCAUGCAUCAGAUACUUGGAAAAGAGCCUUAACGCCUGGUGGGAGGCAAGGUUUUUAAGGAAAAGCUGUGAGAUAACUGCAGGACCCCAAGUAAAGACCAGAUUCUGCCUCUCUGAUGUGCUGAUGGGAUUGUGUGUGACAAGUGAUGAAAUGCAAUGGGACACACAGAAUUGAGCUGCUGUCAGGUCCAUGGUCUGGUUACACAGGGCAGAACAAACACCAGCUGGGACACAAAACGGAACACUCAUCCAAUGACUAACAAAAGCAGAGGGAAGAUGAGGUGGAGCUACCAAGGAAAGCACAGGUGAAAAAUCGUGACCUAUGUUUUGUGGCGAGCAGAUGCCAACCUCACCACUGCAAGAUGGAAGCCAUCAGCUUCUGGACCUUGCCAUUGCACAGUGUGUGAUUGUAUCAACAGCUGGGACACGUGCCGGGGAUGAACGAAGCAAGUUGGAGCCAGAUGAUAACAUUUUUCCACUCUCAGGGUGUGUGUGUGAUUCUUCUUGAGGAAGAGCCUGUCUGAAACCCCUGGAUUCCAUGGUAGCUCAGCAUAUGACAGACUCAAAUAUAUAGCUGCAGCCCUUAAAGUGUAAUGAGUCCCUACUGUACAGUGAAACAAUUCCAGACAUACAUAUGCGACAUGGGAAGAACCAGGUGCCAAAAUUUUCUCUUCUGUCUGGCCAUAAACUUCAAAAAUAUUCUCUCUAAAAGAUGGUGACCAGCAGAAAAGAGCUACCCAGCUUCACUGGAAGCUCUCAAGUUCACCAAGAGCUUGUGGAGGAGAGUUGAGAAGGAGGAGAAGGCACAACCUACCAAGCAGAGACUGAAAGGUGACAUGUCUGGACAAAGGUGACAGUAGUGCAAAAAAACAGGUAACACUCAAGGCAUGGUUUGGCUGGUGUAAAUAUCUUGCAUGUCAUUUUAGUCAGCUUUGGAUACAUUUUACAGACUGUAUUUGAAAUUAAAACAAAACAAACAACAAAAAAACAACAAACAAAACAAACAAAAACAAAAAAGGUUUUCUCUCAAAUGCUCUCUUAUACUUAGCACCAGCAAUGUCUGAUACUUUCUGGCUGUAGAAAAUAGCAGAGCUCACAUUAGAAAACCCAAAUAGUUCUAAAAGGACUGCCACACAUUUUUAUUUUUUAAAAAAGUAGCUAAUAUCAAGUUUUAAAUUGCCGACAGUCUUCUGAACUGCUUACAAGACUGAUAGAUAAGUAGAAGAAAGGAUGGUCUCUAGAGAGCUAAUCUUGCAGCUAGUAAUCCUUUGGGUUUUCAAUAAAUAGAAUUGGAAACCAGGUUUUAUAUGAAGAAUGAUUAAGUUGCUUGUAUAAAGCUCAGAUUAGGAAUUAAAAAAAAAAAAAAGACAGGAAAAAGGAAAGAAAAGAAAGAAAAAAAGAAAGAGGAGGAAAAAAAACAUUUUAGUGGGAAACUAAAAUUCACAAAUCUACUGUUUCAUUAAAACCUGUAUGUUACAGUGGAAGAAUUCUUUAUUUUGUUUUGUUUUUACUGCAUGCAAUUUCCAUGGACAUACUGCAAAUUACAGAAAAUUGAUUUCAUACAGAAAAUCUGAUGCAUCUGAUGUUGUAUGGAUUGUAUUCAAACCAGUAAAUCAGCACAUAUUUUUGGUUUGUGCAUUAACUUGCAUCUCCUUAUUUCUUUGUUCACCCCCAAUAGCUAAACUGUAUAAAAAUAUCCAUAUACUCUUUAGAAAUACCAUGUAAAUGUGAGAAAUGCUAUACAUAAGUCAAAAAAAGAAGAAAAACUAGUUUUUAAAUCUUAAGUAAACCUAGAUUAAGAUUCUAAUGACUCAGUGGCAAAUUAUGAGAAUAUUCUGGCUGAAGAGGAAAAGAAAAUUCCCAAGAGUAACAUAGAUUUUAUGCAUAUGCUGGAGAAGUUAGAGGGGGAAACAUGGCAAAGACUUGAGAAAGGCAAAGCUGGCAGCAGUAUUAAAUCACAGGCUGAAGUAGUUCAUUUUUGUAUGAAACGGUAGCUCAUAUUGUGGAUUUAUAAAAUAUAUGUAUUUUUCAGAAGAAGCAAAGUGAAAAUGAGGUUGCAAAGUGUUAAUGAGGUCAGAUCUUCCUAAAGUCAGCCAGCCUUUGGUAGUCUAAGAAGAGAGAAAAAAAUACAAAUACUAGCUGCCAAGUCAUUAAACAACUAUGAUUUUGGCAUAGUCAUUCUGAUCACAUGAUGCACGUUCUACUAGCAAAAUCAGAGUUGUGUAAAUUCUUGCAAAGUAUUUUUAGAAAACUAUGAAGAAUUGUCUGAGAGCAAAUCAGAAGACAGAAUUGCCCUACAGAUAUUUUAAUUUCAUUGUGACAUAUCUGAGAAAACUUGUAGGAAAAAUAACAACAGUCUCUAAAAAGGCUACAAUAAAUCACUGUGGAUAAAUUUUCCAUUCUUUGUAUUGUUCCUGCCUAGGUUUGUCAUUUAAUUUCUACAAGUACUGUGAGAAAUCACUUUGCCUGGAAGGUUUUCAGGGGUUCUAUUGCUUUUUGGAAACUUAAAAUCCCUAUGUGACUCCAUAGCCCAAACUGUAGUUCUGCUCUUAAAGCUGCAAGUUUGAUGAACUCACACUGUUCUGUUCUUGUGCUGUGGUAGUGUUUUGUUGUUGUCAUAAUUAUUUCAAACCUAAAGGAGGCAUCCUGAUUAUCAGGUCCACACGUAAGAUCUUGGCAGUAGAGCAGGUUGCUGCUCUGUUGCUGGAGACCAUCCCGUCUCUAUUCUCAAAGGGUUUUUGCACAUCUCCCAGAGUGCAUGUGGGUAUCACUGCUGGAUGAAGAAGGCAAAAGUUAAUCCAGGUGAAGAUGACAGAUUUGAAAUAGCUUGUGAUAGCUUGAAAUAGUUGGUGUUCAAUGCUUUUUGUUUGUUUGAUUGUUUUUCUCCCCAUAGUACACAUUGUUAUUAAGGGGAAUUUUGUGAGAUGAUGCAUUUUUCCUAAGUGAUGAUGAGAUAGAUUUCAGCUGAAGGUCUGUAAUGCCUUUUUAUGAAAUAAUCAGCACUUUUACACUAUUAACACCAAAGGUAGUCCUAUGUGAUAUUGUUUCUGGUGAUAAAAUAACCUCAAAAGAAGUUUGUUUGUCUUUUUUUUUUUUUUUUUUUUUUUUUUAAUCUGACAAGUAAACGUUUAAUAUUCACUUAGGUCUUAAGGAGUCAAAAGUACUCAACAGUCUGAAAUCUGACCUCUUGCGGUAUAAAGAAUGGAAAAAAUACUAAGAGAUCAGUAAUAGUAGGUAGAGUGUGGAACAAUCAUUACAGCAAGGGCAGAAAGAAUGGAGAUAAAUGCCUGUUGCAAAUCUAAUUUUGGGAAAGGUCUGAAUCAGAACUAAGAAGUUACAGAACAGUCCAUUUAAAUGAAUGUUCAUUCUCAUGCUCUUUGUUAUGUAAUCUGUGAACAAUGAAAGGAAUGAAAUGGCAUCAUAUAAAGCACCAUUCUCUGACCAUGAUUAAAACUGUACUUUUCUUCCUCUCACUGCAUCAUUAAAAUCUUUACUAAAAAUGGGGACAUUCCAGUUUUUACAGUUUCACGUUAUUGCUAAUGGGGAGGGUGGCCAAUAUUAAAAAAAAAAAAAAAGUAAAAAAAAAAAAAAAAAAAGUGGAGAAACCAUCAGAAAUGUGAUUGCAAUUCCAGGAACAGUUAUAAAAUCUUUCUAUUAAAGUCAACAAAACAGUUUAUUC